UUGAGAAGGUCCGAUCCUUACCUCCUCUUUCAGACAAUAUAUCUAGCAAGCAGCUAGCAAUGGCUACAAGAUCUGCCAUGAUCCUAACUGUAAUCUUCAUUAUUGCUUUGGUUAUAUCUCCUGCAAUUACCUUCACAGAUGCAGCUCGGCCUACAACUUUUAAAGAGGUGUUGGGGAGAAGGCCUAUAUGUCCGGCCUGUGUAUGCUGUGAGCCGCCGCCGCCGGGAUCUUGUUGCCGUUGCGGCUGCGGUGCCGGCGGCCCCAUUACCACCCAGUCCCAUGAAGCUUCUCCGCCGUGAUAAGCAACUUUCCGGCUGCUCGAUCAUAAGGCUUUAAUUAACAUUUGUUUCUCCAAAUAAAUGAAAUGAAACAAAAGUCACUCCGUUACCCCUUUCUGGGGAAUUACGUACGGUUUAUUGUAUUAUUCAUGUGUUUAUGGUUUUCUGUAUUCCUGCUAUGAAAUUAUUAAAUUCAAGGACAACCUAUCUGUCAAUGUACGUAAUAAAA